ACCUCCAUAGUUAAACGGCUAUAAUUCAGGACUCCAAAUCCUGCGUCCUAGGUUCGACUCCUAGUGGGGGUGCCA
rnacentral:tRNA from 2 species